rnacentral:sRNA from 1 species
CAAGAAUUAUUAGAAAUACAGGCUUUGCUGUUGUUGGCUCUACUCUAGAAGACUCUUAUCAUAUAACAAGUGCUUGCGUUUAUAAGGGGCACUGUACAGGAAGUCUAGGGUGUAUUAUGACUUCAAUGCAUUGCCCGUCUGUCAAUGUCUAAAGAGUCCUAUAUAUGGUCUCAGUCUGUAGUGUGUUUAAGACAUUUAGACAUUUUCCUCUCCCUUGUACUCUAGUGGAAUCAGGCUGAGCUUGUGUUAUAUAACACCACCGUCCUGCUCUGUAAUGAGCAACUUCUAAAGAGGAGGCAGCAGGGGAACAAAGCCACCUGGCCUUUGCCAAGCUUUCCAGGCUCUGCCAGUGCACCUGCAGAGAGCUCCGAGAGCUCGGCCUGGAAGAGAGACUGGCUAUUAUGUUUCAUUGCGUGAGAUGACACAGUGCCUUUCCAGGACAGGCUGGACUGAAAAAAUCUCUGCCUUUAUUUCUUGGCCAAAUUUUAUCCAGGGUCUCCCAAGACUUAGGGAAUCAUUAAGCAGCUGCCUCAUUGAACCCCUGCCUUUCACUCUCACCUCAACUGCUUUGAGAAAUUUGAUCGACUCAGACAGAAACAUGAAAUAUUCAUAAGAAGCUUUCGGUGAGCAGUGUCUCAAGAGCUUGCAGGGCUAAACUGGGGAAAUGUCACAUGUUGGUUUUACACCUCAGUAGCACUUGUGCAUGGUCCGUGUCCGACCCAUUGGUGUACUAAAUCAGACUGAAGUUUCAUCACUAUGCUUUGAGUAUAAGACAAAUAUCACUCCCUCUCAUGUUGCCUGCUAUUGCUAGAGUAGGAGAGGUUAUCAAUUAGGGCCCUUUCUGUUGGGACAGGAAACCCAAUUCAAAUUGGUUUAAGUGAAGAAUGAACUGUAUUGAAUCAACGAAAAAGCCCAAGGCUAGCUGGCUUCAGGAGUGGGGCUUCAAGGCUCAAAUGAGGCCAUCAGGGCUUGGUCUCUCUCCAUCUCUAGGCUCUGCCUUCUGUUUGAUUGGCUUCAUUUUAAGCCUCCAUGUUGUGGGCCCCAGCAGUUCCAAACUCCCCCUUGUGGUGGCAAGAUGGCAACAACAGUUCCAGCCUCCAUAGCAUAAAGCAAGGGUCAAUACAUUUUUUCCAUCAAGGUGCCAGAGAAAAAAGUGUUUAGGAUUUGUGGACUGUGUGGUUUCUGUUGCAGCUACUCAGCUCUGCUGUUAUAGUGUGAAAACAGCCAUAGAUAAUACAUAAAUGAAUGAGCAUGGCUGUGUUUCAAUAAAACUUUAUUUACAAAAACAGACACUGGGCUGGAUUCAGCCAGCCAGCUAUAGCUUGCCUACCCCUGUUAACUACAUAGAGUUGUUGUUGGAAAAUGGCUGCUCAGCGGGGGAUGUACCUUCUGGCUUCUCUUGUAAUUGGAUAUGGCCAUAUGACUGAGUUCUUGCUAAAAGAACCUAGGUGGAAGUUAUGUGGACCCUUUCUAGGUCAAAACUUGUAAUAAACAGGUAUGCCCCUUCACAUUCUUUACCUUCUGCGGCUGAAUGCAGAUGAUGAAGAAGUUUUAGGAGUGGCAGAGCCACAGGGUAAGGCAGUCUGAUUCCUGAAUCACUGUGUGAAGUGGACCCACUUAACGACCAGGAACAACUGCCUCAGACUGUUACGUGGGAAGGAAAUAAAUUUCUAUUGUGUUUGAGUCAUUAUACAUUUUUGAUUUAUUUUCAACAGCAGUUUACUUACCUUAAGUAGUAAAGAAGUCAGUGUCAGAAAGAGUGCUAAUGUAUGAAAUAAUCAUAAUAUGUAGCACUCAGUAGUUGUGCCAUGGGAAGCAAGAAAACAGAAUAGGCUGAAGAAAUGGUGACCUGUGUUAUGCCGUGGCAAAAUAGUUCUUAAAACUAUUUGGAAGGCCAAGCAAAUAUCUGCUGUCCUGUAACUCUAGGGAAAGCCAUUAUAAAGAGAUAGAACAUUGUUGUGUGUUACAGUUGAGUUAUUUGCUGCUUAUUGCACUUUAUUACUAGAAAAAUACAUUCCCUGGCAAUAAUUGGCCAGUUUAUAAGCAGAAACAAAAGAGAAUAAACAAUCCCCAAAUUUGGAAAAACCUAUUGAUUCUGGACACCCAACUGGAAAUAGACUGAAUGAGAAAACAAAAAAACAAAGACAAAAAAAAAAAAACCAAAACCAAAAAAACACAAACCCAAUUGCCCGCCUCUAAAAAAAGAAAAAAACUUUGAAGGGAGAAAAGCCCAUUAAGAAAUCUCAGUUAAAUAUAGCAACUCAAUUCUGCAGCAAAGGGCUGCUUUCCACCCAGACCUAUUGUUCAGAUGGUCUCAAGGUGGCUGCCAUUAAAUUGAGAGAAAUCUUUGGAGACAAGGAAGAAAAUAAUUUGGCCUUCAGAACUAGGUCUAGGAAAGAACUCUGGGUGUGGUUAUUGGCACUUGGAAUUUACUGGAAACAAAUAAACGAGAAACUUUCUGUUUUUGAGGGAAUUGUAUUACAAAAAAAAAAAUCACAAGCUUGGAUGAAAUAAUCUUUGAUUGGUUAAGCCUUACCCUUCCGUCCUAAAUUUGUAUGAGCAGAAAGUGAGCUGUGUUAAAUAAAAUUUACAGGAGGCUGUUGGCUUGAACUGAGCUCCUGCACUGGGCCCAACAGACUAAAUCAAAAUGGAGUCACUCAUGCUUAAGUUCCACAUCACCAAACUGAAAUUAAGUUGUUUAUGUGACCUUCCAAAAAACCAGGAGAGAGAAAGGGAUAACAGUUAAAUCCCCAAGCAGGCCAGUUUUAGCAGACGUAAGAAAGUCCCCUCUGCACCAGCCUGGGCAACAAAGUGAGACCCUGUCUCUACAAAAAAUAAAAAAUUAGCCAGGCAUGGUGGUGUAAAUUUGUAGUCCGAGCUACUUGGGAGGCUGAGGCGGGUGGAUCGCUUGUGCCCAGGAGUUUGAGGUUGCAGUGAGCUGUGAUUGCACCAAAGCACUCCAGCUUGGGCAAUGGAGCAAAACCCUGUCUCAAAAAAAAAAGAAGAAAAGAAAAGAAAAAGAAAAACAAAGCCCCCUUUGCUUUAAUCUUUACCCUUUACCAGAAAUGUAACUUUGAGACAACCAAUCCACAUUUUGUUUCCUGUGUCUGCUUUCCUCAGCUCUUUUCUGUCUGUAAAACCAGCCUCCUCUGCUUGGCUCAUCAGAACACUCACUCUAUUUUAUGGGAUGAAGUGUUGCCCGAUUCUAGAAUUGCAAAUAAAGCCAAUUAAGACUUUUGCAUUAAAUUUAUUUUAAUUCUGUAUUUUGACAGCUGUAUAAAGGGGGUACAGUCUUCAAGGAGGACACUCCAGAAGUGGCUAAAAAAAAUAAUGGACAUGGAAGGAUACCCAACAGGGUAGAGUAAGGGGCCCUAAACAAAAAUAGACAAAAAAUUCUUCCCAGAGAGCAGAUUAAGGACUAGGCAAGGAAUUUAUCUCCCCUGCCACGCAGAGGGUCUUUACACUGUUGGCCCAGCAGAAUUCCAUCAUGCUAUUAAGUAAGUACUGUGUUCUUCUCAUUUUUCUUUUUUUUCUGAAUGGGAGUCUUUUUGCAGAUAUCAGGUCUUGGGUCCACCACAAUAUAGUGGACAUGUGUUAGAGGGACAGGUAACUGGUCUUUGAGUUCAUCAAUUGCUGGACCAGGAGGAACCGCAUAUAGACCUGAUUAAGAAGACAUUGUGUCCUCAAGCAUCCUGGACUUUGAGGUGGAUGUAGUGGCUGAAUGGGACUUUGGGUUUUCUUUCUUGAGGAGGGCAUGGGUGUAGUCUCCAUGAGGGAAGAAGGAUGCAAAUGGACAGUUGGCAUACAGGAGGGUGGACUGUGAUAGACUGAUAGCUAUUUACUAAAAAUCCAUUUCCUUUUCAUCCUGAACACAGCUAGACCACACGUUCCUGGCUGUACAAGCAGUUAGGUGUGGCUACAUGAUUGAGUUCUAGCCAACAGAAUGUGAGUGGAAGUGAUGUAGGUUGUUUCCAGGCCAAGAAGCCAGUGUGUCCUCUCCUGGCUCUCAUUCCCUUCCUGCUAGUUGAAUACAGAUAAUCAUGAGGCCCAAGACCCUAAGGAACAGUGCAGCCAGGAGUCGGAAGGAGCCUGGGUUUCUGAAUCAUCACAUGGAGGGGAGCUGUUUUCAGCUGGGAGAGCUGUCUUCAGUUGGAUACUGGGUGAGUGAAAAAUAAACUCCUAUUGUUUUUGAGCAAUUAUAAGAUUUUGUAUGCUCGUUACCACAGCUUAGUUUAUUUAAUUAAUAUAAGAAGCAACAUGAUCUCUUUUUCUCUGUGUGUGCUAAACAUGUUCUCUCUCUGUAGGCUGGCUUUUGUUUCAAUUCUGCAUGUAACUCAGUUGUUAGCUGGAGCUUCCCUUUCCCAUAAGGUCUAGGUGAAAUUGGAAUGAUCGCCUUAUCAUAUGGGUAUCUAAAGCUUUCCCAAGAUAUUUCUGAAUUCCCAAUGGAGCUUCUGUUUUCUGUUUUUAAAGAUUCCUUUCCCUUUUGAAGUCUUCAGCUCAAAUGGUCUCUCUCUGUCUCUCUCUCUCUCUCUUUUUUUUUUUCCUUCUUCUUUUUUUAGAGAUAGAGUCUUUCUUUACUGCCUGGGCUGGAGUGCAGUGGCACAAUCACAGCUCACUGCAGCCUGGAACUCCUGGGCUCAAGCAAUCCUCCUGUCUUGGCCUCUGAAAAUGCUGGGAUUACAGGUGUGAGCCACCGUACCUGGCUGGUCUCUGUUCUGUUCCACCCUUUUUCCUUUUUUUUUUUUUCCUUUGAGUUACACAUGCAUACAUAUAUACUUCACACUCACACAAAUUAUUUAUGAGAGUAAGAGAUUGUAGUGAGAAAUUGGUGAGGAAUAAGUAGAGGAAGGGCUUACACUCACAGGGGUGCAAACCUCAAAUGAAAGAGAGGUGUCACCACCCUGAAGCCACCUACCACUGGUGAGUAUCCCUGGCCCUUCACUUCACCUGGUCCCAACUUGUCUCCUUAGUUUUCAUUCUUCUCUCUCCCUCUAUUUGUCAUUUUCCCCUUUACUUGUACCAAGAGCCAGACAAAAGCCCUUGGAUAUUCUGGGAAGACUAACAAGUUGGUACAUUGGGAAAUCUAACAAUUGGAUGCUUUUUCAAAUUGCUACUUGGAGGAGAGGCAGAAUCCUGCCUGGGGUACAAAGCAAAGUAGAAGGACCACACUCAGCCUCUGUCAUCCUGAGCAAUUCAGCUCUGGCCCCAAUAUGCACAACUUACUAAAAUAGAAGAAAUGCAUAGAAUAAAAUAGAAUAAAUGGAUUUUGCUCAACCCACCCUUUUUAGAGUUUUGUUUGUUUGUUUGUUUGUUUUAAACAACUAUCUGUCUUUAUGCAAUCAUGUCCCUGGGGACUCACCCCAACCCCAUAUGGCUUAUCAAAGUGUUCAUUAAAAAUGUACCCUUCUCUUUCUGAGUUUUGUUAGCCUAAAUUUUCCAAUUUUCUUUGCAUUUUUAGUGACAUUUAAAUUAUCCUAAUGAGGUUUCACUACUGCUUAUAGAUUGGCAUUCCAGGCAGGUCUACCAGCUUCCUCCUAAUAUAGGAUUGCUCAACUCUUUCUCUACAUUUUAGGAGAAAAACCGAGAAAAUUUCUUCUUUAUUUCCAGUGGAAUGUCUUUUGUCCUUCUCUGAUGUCUUGGCAUCAACUUAUGUUUGUUAUUGAAGGAUUUCCUGAGCAGCUUAUCAUGGUACUUUCCUAUACAAAGAUAAUUCUUUCCCUAAAAUAAAUUUAGGUUCUAGCUGGUAAUAUCAUAAAAGCUUUUUUUUUUAACCUUGUUUCAUAUGUACUUGAUAGAAUGCAGUCAUUUUAACCCUGGAACUAAAUUAACUUUCAACUCCAGCGGGGUUGUCAUGUACAGUUGUAUAGGUUGUACACUAAGCCAUCCUAGGGAGCACCUUUUACCUAUAGUCUAUGUCACUGGUAAUUUCUUUUUUUUCUUUUUUUGAGAUGGAGUCUCACUCUGUCACCCAGGCUGGAGUGCAGUGGUGCAAUUUCGGCUCACUGCAACCUCCGCCUCCCAGGUUCAAGCAAUUCUCCUGCCUCAGCCUCCCGAGUAGCUGGGAUUACAGGAGGAAGAAAGGGAGCUGGUUAGGAAGCAAACUUGAGUUUCCCAUGCUCUGUGGCUGAGCAAGUCACUUCACCAUUCUCAGGAUGGAAGUGGGGAUGGAGGUGGCAUCGGCCUCAUUUGAACCACAUGGACUAAGAGGGGCUAUGGGAGUAUUCCCCAAAGGAAGACUGAGGGGCGUUACUAGAAAAUGGGAGAAUGGAAGCAGAGUGGGCAAAACCAACAGAUGUUCCCUAUAGUAAAUAAAAAAUUUGGACAAUUA